CAAUGCCGCGUGUGUGAAGAAGGCCUUCGGGUUGUAAAGCACUUUCGUGGGGACAAACAAGGCGGAGCUAACAUCUCCGUCCCUGAUGGUACCCAAAGAAGAAGCACCGGCUAACUCUGUGCCAGCAGCCGCGGUAAUACAGAGGGUGCAAGCGUUAAUCGGAAUUACUGGGCGUGAAGCGUGCGUAGGUGGUUUGUUAAGUCAGGUGUGAAAUCCUCGGGCUCAACCCGGGAACUGCGCUUGAUACUGACAGACUCGAGUGUGGUAGAGGAUAGUGGAAUUCCCGGUGUAGCGGUGAAAUGCGUAGAUAUCGGGAGGAACAUCAGUGGCGAAGGCGGCUAUCUGGACCAACACUGACACUGAGGUACGAAAGCGUGGGUAGCAAACAGGAUUAGAUACCCUGGUAGUCCACGCCCUAAACGAUGGGUACUAGACGUCGGGAAGCUUGUCUUCUUGGUGUCGCAGCUAACGCAAUAAGUACCCCGCCUGGGGAGUACGGUCGCAAGAUUA
rnacentral:rRNA from 1 species